rnacentral:rRNA from 1 species
UGGAAAGAUGAAUCAAAGAAGGUAAUAAUCCUGUAGUCGAAAAUGUUGUCUCUCUUGAGUGGAUCCUGAGUACGACGGAGCACGUGAAAUUCCGUCGGAAUCUGGGAGGACCAUCUCCUAAGGCUAAAUACUCUCUAGUGACCGAUAGUGAACCAGUACCGUGAGGGAAAGGUGAAAAGCACCCCGGAAGGGGAGUGAAAUAGAACCUGAAACCGUGUGCUUACAAGUAGUCAGAGCCCGUUAAUGGGUGAUGGCGUGCCUUUUGUAGAAUGAACCGGCGAGUUACGAUUUGAUGCAAGGUUAAGCAGUAAAUGUGGAGCCGUAGCGAAAGCGAGUCUGAAUAGGGCGUUUAGUAUUUGGUCGUAGACCCGAAACCAGGUGAUCUACCCUUGGUCAGGUUGAAGUUCAGGUAACACUGAAUGGAGGACCGAACCGACUUACGUUGAAAAGUGAGCGGAUGAACUGAGGGUAGCGGAGAAAUUCCAAUCGAACCUGGAGAUAGCUGGUUCUCUCCGAAAUAGCUUUAGGGCUAGCCUCAAGUGAUGAUUAUUGGAGGUAGAGCACUGUUUGGACGAGGGGCCCCUCUCGGGUUACCGAAUUCAGACAAACUCCGAAUGCCAAUUAAUUUAACUUGGGAGUCAGAACAUGGGUGAUAAGGUCCGUGUUCGAAAGGGAAACAGCCCAGACCACCAGCUAAGGUCCCAAAAUAUAUGUUAAGUGGAAAAGGAUGUGGCGUUGCCCAGACAACUAGGAUGUUGGCUUAGAAGCAGCCAUCAUUUAAAGAGUGCGUAAUAGCUCACUAGUCGAGUGACACUGCGCCGAAAAUGUACCGGGGCUAAACAUAUUACCGAAGCUGUGGAUUGUCCUUUGGACAAUGGUAGGAGAGCGUUCUAAGGGCGUUGAAGCAUGAUCGUAAGGACAUGUGGAGCGCUUAGAAGUGAGAAUGCCGGUGUGAGUAGCGAAAGACGGGUGAGAAUCCCGUCCACCGAUUGACUAAGGUUUCCAGAGGAAGGCUCGUCCGCUCUGGGUUAGUCGGGUCCUAAGCUGAGGCCGACAGGCGUAGGCGAUGGAUAACAGGUUGAUAUUCCUGUACCACCUAUA